GUGGACCUACGGGACGCAGCAGUCGAGAAUCAUUCACAAUGGGGGAAACCCUGAUGGUGCGACGCCGCGUGGGGGAAUGAAGGUCUUCGGAUUGUAAACCCCUGUCAUGUGGGAGCAAAUUAAAAAGAUAGUACCACAAGAGGAAGAGACGGCUAACUCUGUGCCAGCAGCCGCGGUAAUACAGAGGUCUCAAGCGUUGGUCGGAAUCACUGGGCGUAAAGCGUGCGUAGGCUGUUUCGUAAGUCGUGUGUGAAAGGCGCGGGCUCAACCUGCGGACGGCACAUGAUACU
rnacentral:rRNA from 1 species